AUACUGUUGAUGAGUCCCAAAAUAGGACGAAACGGCCGUCCAAUAC
rnacentral:hammerhead_ribozyme from 1 species